GAUGAACGCUGGCGGCGUGCCUAAUACAUGCAAGUCGAGCGAACAGAUAAGGAGCUUGCUCCUUUGACGUUAGCGGCGGACGGGUGUGUAACACGUGGGUAACCUACCUAUAAGACUGGGAUAACUUCGGGAAACCGGAGCUAAUACCGGAUAACAUUUGGAACCGCAUGGUUCUAAAGUGAAAGAUGGUUUUGCUAUCACUUAUAGAUGGACCCGCGCCGUAUUAGCUAGUUGGUAAGGUAACGGCUUACCAAGGCAACGAUACGUAGCCGACCUGAGAGGGUGAUCGGCCACACUGGAACUGAGACACGGUCCAGACUCCUACGGGAGGCAGCAGUAGGGAAUCUUCCGCAAUGGGCGAAAGCCUGACGGAGCAACGCCGCGUGAGUGAUGAAGGGUUUCGGCUCGUAAAACUCUGUUAUUAGGGAAGAACAAACGUGUAAGUAACUGUGCACGUCUUGACGGUACCUAAUCAGAAAGCCACGGCUAACUACGUG
rnacentral:rRNA from 1 species